AAUGCUAAAUGGCAAUACUCAGUGUUCGCUGUCCUUUCCACGAUGUAUGUUGUACUUGCAGAAGAGGAACAGAAGUCAGUGUCGUUCGACUUGGCCUCGGCAAUGAUGGCUGGUACAGUGGGUGUCAUGGUAGCGUUAAUUGGCAUAGUUAUGUAUAUAUGGCAGGUUCACUGCAGAGAAUAUACGCAAAAAUACCCGGAAGAAUCGCCAGAAUGGAUUGCAGGAAAGUCAGCGGUGGAAUCAGUCAUGGGAAUAAACAUGACGCCAGAUUACGCAAUCAUGGAACUUGAAUAAACUAACGAUCAAUUUGGACAUCCAAACGAUAUUUUGGGAACGUCAUACAUGUUACAAAAACCAGUGAGGUCAACAAAAUGCUUGUUUCUAAAAUUAUGCGGUGACGUUUUUUUUAUCUUCAAUCAUAGGGUUCAUAGUUCAACGUAUAAUAUUCAUAUUAAGUAAUGCUUCCCAAUAGAGUUUAUUUUGGAUCGACAAAACAUUCUCUAAAACUGUAAAGAAAUACUAGUAUUUUUCAAUUGUACCGUAUGUGGCGCACUUCACCAGUACGCAAAAUUUCAAACUCGGAUGACGAGAAGCAAAACUUAAUUUUUGACCUGACGGGAGAUUAAUCAUCGUAUAACUGCCAUGACUGAUUUGGUUUCCAAUAUUCUUCCUUGAUUUGUAACUUUCUGUAAUAUAUAGUGAGCAACAUUGCAAUUUUGAUAUAAACAACACUAUUGUGAUAACCUUGGCACUUUGAAUUAAAUAACGAUCUAAGCAUU